GGAGGGGCCAUAGCUCAGUGGUAGAACGUCUGCCUUGCAUACAGAAAGUCCCAGGUUCAGUCCCCAGCAUCUCCA
rnacentral:tRNA from 1 species